rnacentral:rRNA from 1 species
GACGAACGCUGGCGGCGUGCUUAACACAUGCAAGUCGAACGAAGAGCGAUGGAAGCUUGCUUCUAUCACUCUUAGUGGCGAACGGGUGAGUAACGCGUAAUCAACCUACCCUUCAGAGGGGGACAACAGUUGGAAACGACUGCUAAUACCGCAUACGAUCUAAUCUCGGCAUCGGGGAUAGAUGAAAGGUGGCCUCUACAUGUAAGCUAUCACUGAAGGAGGGGAUUGCGUCUGCUUAGCUAGUUGGAGGGGUAACGGCCCACCAAGGCGAUGAUCAGUAGCCGGUCUGAGAGGAUGAACGGCCACAUUGGGACUGAGACACGGCCCAGACUCCUACGGGAGGCAGCAGUGGGGAAUCUUCCGCAAUGGACGAAAGUCUGACGGAGCAACGCCGCGUGAGUGAUGACGGCCUUCGGGUUGUAAAGCUCUGUUAAUCGGGACGAAAGGCCUUCUUGCGAAUAGUGAGAAGGAUUGACGGUACCGGAAGAGAAAGCCACGGCUAACUACGUG